CCUACGGGUGGCAGCAGUGAGGAAUAUUGGUCAAUGGGCGCAAGCCUGAACCAGCCAAGUCGCGUGAGGGAUGACGGUCCUAUGGAUUGUAAACCUCUUUUGUCGGGGAGCAAGGCCCGCCACGUGUGGCGGGAAGGAGAGUACCCGAAGAAAAAGCAUCGUCUAACUCCGUGCCAGCAGCCGCGGUAAUACGGAAGGUCCGGGCGUUAUCCGGAUUUAUUGGGUUUAAAGGGUGCGCAGGCGGUCUGUUAAGUCAGUGGUCAAAGCCCGGGGCCAAACCCCGGCCCGCCGUUGAAACUGGCAGUCUCGAGUGGGGGAGAGGUGUGCGGAAUGCGCGGUGUAGCGGUGAAAUGCAUAGAUAUCGCGAAGAACUCCGAUUGCGAAGGCAGCAUGCCGGCUCCACACUGACGCUGAGGCACGAAAGCGUGGGUAUCGAACAGGAUUAGAUACCCGGGUAGUC
rnacentral:rRNA from 1 species